rnacentral:lncRNA from 1 species
AAAUAUUCAAUUUUAAAUAUUAAUAAUUAAUUAACUAACAUGUACAGCAUAGUCAAACCUAAAAGGGCAUAUUAGUAUAAGAAAUAACACAAUAUUUCAAUACAAAAAUAUAUCAUAAAGUGUACUAUAGUUUUACAAACUAAAUCGAAAUGUCAUUCACUUCAACCAUUACAAUUACAAGAAACUUCAAAUCAUAUGCUUGAACUUCAAAUCACUAAAAAAACUUGCUUAAACUUCAAAUCGCUAGCAUCCAAACUCAAGAUAGGAUCUGCAACAGUUCAUGAAACUUCAGCGGGUUUCGCUAGGAUUACUGUCACUAAGCAUCUCCUGGCUGCAAAGAAAAAUACACAAUAAGCAACUUCAUCCAAACUCAAAACAUGGAUGAAUAUAGCAUACUUGAUGAAUUUAGUACUACCAGCCAGUUAAGUUAGAUGGUGGAACAAGACAUGUUAGUUGACAAGCAUAUAUUACAACAAUAACAACAUAUACAGUGGAAUUUACAAGCGGAUUUGGGGAAGGUAGUAUAUACGCACAAGUAAUGGCUUAUCCCCACUUACACUUGUCAGGGAGCCAAAGGAAAACAAUUACUAUUGUUUAUCUUCAGCAAAAUAAUACAACUUACAGGAAUAAGAGCCUGCUCAAGAAAUACAUCAGUAGCUACCGUUUUGUGUAACUCAGACCAACUGGGUCUGCGAUGGCCACAGGCCACUACUCCCCUGUACUACUUUUAGUUUUUAAUGAAAUGCUUCAUUUUUCCUUACAAAAAGAAAAUAACAACAAAUGGGUUCCUAGUUAGAUAAAGUCUAAAGAUUAAUUCAUUGGGGAAAGAAAUUAAUUAGUAAUAUCUAUGGCUAGAUCUCACAUUAGUUGUACCCUGAAAUGUACCUCUAAUCCUUAAUUCUUUGAAGUAUCAAAGUUCCAGAGAAAAAGAUUUUACGUAUCAAUGCUAACCACCUUGCCAUGCCUAUAUAACAUAACUAUAGGUGCAGUAAGUUCUCAAGACACUGUAAAAAUAUUCAUUAAACAACACCAACAACUAUAUAAAAGCUAUAACUUGAAAUGUAAAAGCCCAACUAGUGAAUUAGAAAAUAAGUACCCUGAAAUGUGCUUAUUCUUGUUGGUUGUGCUACAGACACUGCAAGGAAAGUACAAGCGGAGAUCAUAUCUUAUCGUCGUAACAUGUAUACUCAAUAUACUCGAUAUGGUUAGUCAAUCGAUAAAGUGAAACAACCUUAUGGUGCUACUUCUAAUCCUACAUGGGCUGAUGACGCGACAAGAAAGAACAUUUCAUCAUCAAACAAAUUGAAAACACCAUAUUUCUCCAACAUCACCACCUUAUAAGAUAGAAACAAAUAUCAUAUCUCUCAAAUUUACCAGAUUCACUUACAACUAACAAAUCAAUUAAGAAGUUAAUCUAUCCAACCAAAAAAAUCAAUUACUAGCAAGUUAUCCUCCAUGUAAACCUUAUUUAAUUAGAUUAUCCAUAUUGAAACCCUAAAAACUCUAAGUUUAGGGGAAAUCCGAAAAGCACAAUAGUUAAAAACCUUAGAAAGAGCUGAAGCUUCUCCAUGGUGCAGGACGUAGGGCAGCGAGCCUAUUGGAGCAUUCUUUUACUCCGAAAUCAGCGAAGAUGAAUUUCUAUUGCAGAUUUUCUGGAAAAAAAAAAUAGAUUCAAAAUAUAAAUCUCAAAACUUUUUACAAACAAUUUGAAGUUGAGAAAAAAAAACUCAGUUGAUUUAUGUAUUGAAAAUGCAUGAAAAUGAGGAAAGGAGAACUCAUUUUUGAAGCUUUCGAUAUCUAAAUUAGGGCGCAAUUGUUAAAUAGAGAGAAAUUGGGAAGUAAGAGAGGAGAAGAGAAGUAUGAACCAAUGAUACCGCCAAUCGCCACCGCCGCCUCCGUCUUUUCCUACUCCGACCACUGCUAUUGUGGAUGAAGACAGUGAUAGCUCCGCCACCAUGGAUUCGCUACCGUGCCGCCUCCAUCUCUUCCUACUCCAACCCUAAUUAUCAUAUGAAAACUGAUAGAGAAAAUAGAAUCGAACUUUCUUUUAUUUGGGGAUUAAAUGAGCAACGAUAUCGUAGAAUUUUAUUUUUUAGGAUUACGGAGGGUAAUAACCCCACAAAUUCUACUAAUAUUAUAGGGGUUAAUCAAACCUCCGUAAUUUGAUGUAAUUUGUGGGGUUGAGUUGACCUCUAUUAUAAAACCUCUAGGGUGUAACUUGUAAGUAAUUUUUUGUAGUGAUUGAACAGAUUGCUACAUUAUCAAACAAUUACAUUAACUGUUUUCUCAAUGUUGUCCAUGAAUUCAUACACAUAUAUAGCUAAUGUAAGUUAUUAACUUGUCCAGAAUCAUGUCAUAAAAGUUUAGGUGGCAUAGGAGUUGGCCCCAAAUAGGCAUAUGAGAAUCAUCCUUAACAUUUGCAGCGGAGCCUGCAACACUUAGAAUCGCCAGACACUGAAGAUUUUGAUAAUUGGGGAUAGAAUGAGAGAGAGCGAUAGUAACCAAAAACGAGGAACAAUUGAACUUCUCUAAGUUACAUUUUAUUUUUGGCGGAAUGAUUUGGGAGCUCCUGUAUUUGGUUCCGUUUGUAAGUUAGACCCUUCUACUUAUCAACUGAACCCUUAUACUCAUCAGAACGCAAUAUUUUAAACCUUUUUUUCAUUUGACUAGUGUGUGUGAAGUACAAUUGCUUACACGUGAAAUUUCAUGUUAUUUUUUAAUGACAUGUAAGAAAUUACAUGUUAAAAAUUAAAAAAUUCAAUUAAGCCACUUUUGUAAUUUCUGGAAAUUUUAGAUAAGCAUUUCUUUUUAAAAAUAAAUAAAUUCAAAUAAGUAUGUUCUUCAUAUUUAUUCCAAAUUGAAAACUAAAUUCAUGUCAAAUAGAUAAAAAAAUUCGCCAUUUGACUUGAAAAUUCAAAUACAAGUUUAACACCACAAAUCCAACUAAUCCCAAUCUAAUUUCACAAAUUCACAAGACUCAUUUAUUAUUUUUCAAGUUUUCUCUAACUUAUCAAUGGAGUUUUAAUUUUUCAAUAUCCACCAUUAUCCUUCGUGAUAAUCCAUACUUAGACCUCUUUUUUGAAGCCUAAUAAAACAAAUGAUAAUCUCAAUACUUUUCGACUAAAAAAUUAAAAUUUAAAAGGGUUAAGAGAGGGGUAGAUCUAAGUGGUUAGGGUGGGUGGCUGAUUUGUAGUGAAAAAGAAGUGUGGAUUGAGAAGGAAGUGGAUGAAGGAGAGAAUGAAGAGGAGGACAGUGGGUGUGGUGGAUGAUAUUCUAAGAAGAAGAAGAGAGAGGGAGGGCUGGGGAUGAAGGAGAGAGGGGUGGGGGUGGGGUGGAGAGGGAAUGGUUGAGGAAGAUGGGUUUUGAAUUAUUGUUUUUUAAAAUUGAUUAUUAUUAUUAGGCGAAAUGGUCUGGUGAACCCUUAUACUUGUAUCAAUUUGUAUUCUAAAUCCAAUCUUUCUACUUACCCUUUUGUCAUCUGGACCCUUAAACUCAAUAAAACACAAUUUAACAAAUACCUCUGACCAUUGACCAAGCUUAUGUGUCUUUAAGAUGGCUGAGUUGGCGAAAGUGUGUAACUUCACGCACCUUAAGGCGAGUGAAUAACAUUUUUAGGUUAAAAAAAAAGAAGAAACUGCGGUUAGUCUCUACAUAUCCAAAAACUCCAGGUGCUAACUACUGUGUGUCUCUGUUUUCUCUUCUGUAAAUGACGCAUUCCCAUGGCGGCGACUCCAAAUUUUCUAUUCUUUUUCUCCACUUCUGAACCAUUUUCUCCACCCUACUGUCACAUUCAUCACCACCAACACCAGAAGUAAUCACUAUUGUCCCCUUUAUUGCUUUUCUUCUUCACUUUCUCAUUUUGUUCUCUCACCAUUCUCAUUUUUUUCUCUUUACUCUAAGAUUACUAAGAAGAAGAUAAAUGACACCCAUCAACACCUAAUUAAAGUCGGACAAGACUUAUCUAUACAACAGGAAUCUUAGAAUGAUGAACAACCGGAGAUUACACAUCAAUCUGACCCGACCCAUUUCACCCAUUCUAUUUUUCUCGAGAUCUUACCUCCAAUUCACCUAAAUGGGUGAAAUUGUUUGGUAAUGAAUUGGGUGAUGAUGCCCCGAAUAAGAUUGAAUCGGGUCAUGAUGCUGAAAGGGUUGAAGAGGAUAAGGAUAAAGAGAGGACGAAGAAAAAGAAAUGGGCUAAGAAGAAGAGACCCAAUUCAAAUAGUGAAGAGGAAGGGAAGAGGGAUUAUGGGGUUGUGAAGGAGAAAGAGGAAUUGGUGUGUUUAUACCCUUUUACCAAGUCUUCUAGUUCUGAUAGGUCAAUUUGUUAAUUGCUUGAUUGAAGCAAGGAAUGAGCUACAACACAAGUCUGAGGUCAUUCAACGAAGAUUCACAAUAACGAAGGCUGAUAGGUCUUCCUCUGUUCGCCUACGGCAGCAGAUAUACAAGCUAGAAUUAGAACAAAAGCGAUUGGAAGAGGAUGUUUAGGUUGUUGUUUUUGUGGAGGUUGGAGGAGGAAAGAAAAACAACGAUGGUGUGCGGCAGAGAUGAAGACGGGUGAGGGAGAAAGUAUAUGUGAUUUCGCCGGCAAAAAUGGUGACGACGGCGGCGAUGCCUUUCUCCGGCGAUUUUGGUCAUGAAACAGUGAAAAUAGAGAGAAUUAGAUGUAUGGAAGUUCACUUUUAAAAUGCCAAAAAUAAAUUAAAAUGUUAAUAAUAAUUUGGUUAAUAAUUUUAAAAAAUAGCUAUGAAAUAAUUAUGACAUGGCAUUAAUAUAUCUGAUGUGGAUAUGACAUGUCAAUUAUAUAAAGGAGAGUGAGCUACACACAUGAUUGGAGGGGCUUAAAAGUUUCAUUUUAAUUGAGUUUAAGGGUUCAGGUGACAAAUAAGUAAGUAGAAGGGUUCAAAAUACAAACUGAUACAAGUACAAGGGUUCACCAGACCAUUUCGCCUUAUUAUUAUUAUUAUUUAAAUAUUUUAAAUGUAAAAUACUUUAUUUACUCGCUGUCAAACGCGUGUAAUCACGUAUUUUUCCAACUCAACAUUAUCAAUGUCACAUAUGUUUGGUCAAUGAUCAAAGGGAUUUAAAAUAUCGUGUUCUGAUGAGUUUAGGGGUUCAGUUGACAAAUUGAUAAGUAGAAGGGUCCAACUUACAAAUGGAGUCAAGUACAAGGAUCUCCUAGGUCAUUCCGCCUCUAUUUUGUUUUCUCACUGCAUUCUCAUUAUGAGUGUUGUCUUCGACUUGGGUUUAUAAGUCCAAAGAAGUGUAUAUGGUUGAUUUUACGUUGUAGUUCGAUGAUGUUUUGAUACCUAUAAAUAUUUAUGUUUGAGCAAUAGGUUCCAGAUCACAACAUUUAGCAUACAAAGACCGAAACAUGCAAUUAUUUCAUCUAUAUCGGAAUAUAGAUUAUGCAGUCAACAAGCAUGUACAAAAUCUAAAAAUAACGAUAAGUCACCAAAUUUUUAUUAGCAACACAUCGGUGAAACAAACAAAGAAGAGAUGGGAGAAAGGACUCACCAGACAUAAGCAAAUGAAACCGAUAAAAUCAGUAACACGAUGGAAGAAAGAAAUAAACAGGGGAUAAAAACUACUAAAAAAUGAAGUGAAAUUGCAAGAGGCAAUGCAUACCUAGGCUAGA